rnacentral:sRNA from 1 species
CGCGGCCGGGGCGGAGACUUCGGGACCGGCUGGCGGGCGGCGCCGGGAGCGCGGGGGCGGCGGGCCCGGGACGAGCAUGUAGCGGCUGCUGGCGGCGGGGCUCCCGGGGCGGGCCGGGCGGGCCGCGGGAGCCGCACGCGGCGAUAUGGAAGAGGAGGGCAAGAAGGGCAAGAAGACUUUUUAGCACUUUCUCCAGAGUAAUACUGAGCUCAGUGUUUUGCAUGGAGAACGCAGCUAGAAGCCUGGAAUUGUCUCGCCAUUUAAACGAGUAUUCCUAAAAGGUGAAAAGAGUAGAGAUAAGAAAGCCCAUGAGAAGGUGACAGAGAGGCGCCCUCUGCACACUGUGGUGUUGUCAUUGCCUGAGCGCGUCGAGCCAGACAGACUGCUGAGCGACUAUAUUGAGAAGGAGGUAAAGUAUUUAGGUCAGUUAACGUCCAUACCAGGAUACCUGAAUCCCUCCAGUAGGACUGAAAUCCUGCAUUUCAUAGACAAUGCAAAGAGAGCCCACCAGCUUCCGGGACACUUGACUCAGGAGCAUGAUGCUGUGCUCAGCCUGUCUGCCUACAACGUCAAGCUGGCCUGGAGGGACGGGGAGGAUAUCAUCCUCAGGGUGCCCAUCCAUGACAUCGCCGCCGUCUCCUAUGUUCGGGAUGACGCUGCGCACCUGGUGGUCCUGAAGACAGGUCGCUGCGGAGGAGCUUUGCUGUCUGCUAGGCCAGGUCUUCCAGGUUGUUUACACGGAGUCCACCAUCGACUUUCUGGACAGAGCGAUAUUUGAUGGGGCCUCUACCCCCACCCACCACCUGUCCCUGCAUAGCGAUGACUCUUCUACAAAAGUGGACAUUAAGGAGACCUACGAGGUAGAAGCCAGCACUUUCUGCUUCCCUGAAUCCGUGGAUGUGGGUGGUGCGUCACCCCACGGCAAGACCAUCAGUGA